AUGGUCCUUGAGUACAUCAUUUCCAAGGCAGCCGAAGAGGAUUUCAUCACUGUGAUUGGUGGCUACUGGUCCAUGGCAACACGUAGCAACAAAGUCCGCAGGCUUUCCCUCCACAACAGUGACUCCAAACAUGCAAAGAAAGCAGCUAGCAUGAACCUGUCACAUGUACGAUCACUGACCGUGUUUGGAAGCCUGGGCCAACUACGUUUCAAGUCAUUCAAGACUGGAAUAGUGCAAGUACUAGACCUCGAAGGCUGCAGAGGUUUCAAGGCGAAACAUGUGAGUGUCUCAGACAUAUGUGAAAUGACUCUACUCAAGUACCUAAGCCUUCGAGGGACAGACGUCAGCAAAUUACCCUCAAAAAUUGGGAAUCUCAAGUACUUAGAGACCCUAGACAUAAGGGAGACAGAGAUUCAGGAGCUCCCAAAAACUGUGGCUCAGCUGGAAAGGAUAAGUAACAUACUUGGUGGGGACAAGAAAACACGGAAAACUCUGAAACUUCCUAAAGAUGUCAAGGGAACAAUGAAAGAUCUACGCAUAUUGUCAGGGGUGGAGAUUGUUGAGGGAUCCACUGCUGCAUCAGACCUUGGUUAUUUCACCAGGUUGAGGAAGUUGGCCAUUUAUAAGCUCCACAAGGGUGAUCAGAUGUUCAAAGAUUUACUCUCUUCUAUCCAGUAUCUCAGCGGCUACUCUCUCCAAACUCUUGUAAUUGAUGAUGAUUCAUCUGAAUUCCUCAACACUCUGGAUUCUAUGACAUCCCAUCCGACGGACCUGAGAACUCUCAAGUUGUCUGGCAAGUUGUUUCAAGUACCCAAGUGGCUUCCAGGCCUCAGUGAGCUCAUCAAGUUAACUCUUUCAGCGACAGUUCUCCGGACAGAUAGUUUACUGCUCCUUGGCAAGCUAGCGUCUCUGUUUUCCCUUACCUUUUCAAUCAGUGCAGCAAAUAAGGAUCCUGAUAUGGCGGCCAUACUCGAGAAAAAUAAGUCUGAUUCUGGAGGACAGAUCUUUGUUCCUGCUGGAGGGUUUGGUAAGCUCAAACUGCUUCGCAUAUUUGUACCUCUUCUUCCAUCUCUGAACUUCUCAAAGAAGGCCAUGCCGCAGCUCGAAAGGCUUGAGCUCCGUUUCAAAAGAUUGGAAGGUGUUCAUGGAAUGGACAGACUCGGAAGCCUCCAUGAUGUGCUCUUAACAGUUGAUGACAAAGCAGGUGAACCUACAACGUCGAUACUAGAAGAUAUGAAGGGAAGCUCAUCGAGGAAGUAUGCCCUAAUUAUUAACGAGUAUCAUGAUUGA
rnacentral:rRNA from 1 species